AUGGACCGGUUCGACGACAGGCACCACGUGCGGCUGCGGAGCCUAGUGCACCGCACCUACCUCCACGCCGCCGACGACGGGGAGAGCGUCACCCUCAGCCAGGUCCACGGAUCCCUAAACGCGGCGUGGGCGGUGCACAUCUACCACGGCGGAGACGACGAUGGUGUCGGCUGCGACUACGACGGCGGCCAGCGCCUGCUCCUCCACAGCGCGGCCUACGGCCGCUACCUCGCCGCCACGGCCACGCCGGCGAGGCUCGGCCACCGGGGCCUCCGCGCGGAGCUGCGCGACUACGACCAGCCGGGCGUGGAGGCCUUCAUGUGGCAAGCCGUGGGGUCGGGCUUCGGGGACGACGUCGUCCUGCUCCGCAACGUCGGCGGCCGCUACCUCCGCGCCAACGGCAGGUGCCUCCCCUGGAACUCCUCCGGCGUCAGCGUCGACGACGAGGCCAGCUCCAUGAUGUACUGGGUCGUCGAGCCCAUCCCCGCCAGAGAGGACAUGCCUGCCCUUCCUGCCCCGCCUCCGAAUCCCCCAUACGGAUACCUCCUCGGGGUCAUCCACCUGGAGCCGGGACGGCUGAUCCGGUUCGUGCGAGCGCUCGACAACGGGGACUACCCCGAGGACCCCGAGCACGAAGCCUGGCGCCAGUUCUGGUUCAGGGGGAGGUCCGCGUUUCGCCUGAGGGACGACCUGCGGUUCCUCGUCGGCGCCGGCGUCUACUACCGGAACAUCGCCAUGUGCGUCCGAGCGGGCCGCCACGGGAGGCUGACCCCGCUCGUCGUCGACCUGCCCGACGGCGGCUAUGGCGACACCCUCGAGAUUGUCCUCAUCCGGGCCGAGACCCCUGGACCUCCACUAAACAAGAAGCAGUCCAAGGACCUGGUUUUCAAGGAUCUAGUGCAUGUCCUAUUCAGCACAUUCAAAUUCUGCCUGGAUAAUAUCAUCAGAUUCCUCAUAAACAUCAGUACUAUCUUGUACAGCAGAUUGAGUGUAACUGCUUUCAGGUACAACAGAGGCAAAAGCAUCUUCCAAGUUAGGGGGAAGCGCGUCAGGAUCAAGUUCAACAGCUCCUUCUGGAAUGCCAUCUCUUUCAGUCCCCUCCAUCCAAUGGUAAGGGACACAAUGUGA
rnacentral:rRNA from 1 species